rnacentral:rRNA from 1 species
AUGGCUGGCAAGUGCGGCGAGGAGGAGCUGGAGGUCGCCGAGCCGCUGGGGCGGUGGCCCGUGCUGUCCUACGGCGUCGGCCACAUGCUCAACGACAUCACCUCCGCCUGCUGGUUCACCUACCUCCUCCUCUUCCUGCAAGAGAUCGGCCUCGCUCCAAGGGAUGCAGCUAUCGUGAUGCUCUCAGGCCAGGUCGCAGACGGGCUGAUGACCAUCGUCGCCGGAGAGAUGAUCGACCGGUUCGGGCGUUUCAAGCUGUGGCACAUCGGUGGGUCGGUCCUCGUCGGCAUCUCCUUCUCCUCGGUCUUCGGCGGGUGCCUGCUCUGCACCAUCCUCGGCACCGACUCCUACCUCGUCAGGACCAUUGGCUACAGCUUCUUCGCCGCCGUCUUCAACAUCGGGUGGGCGGCCACGCAGGUCUCCCACAUGUCGAUGGUGAACUGCAUGACGUCCAACCCCACGAGCCGGGUGGCCUUGGCGAGCUGCAGAAACGCUUCCACCAUGGUGGCUAAUCUUGGUCUAUAUGGCAUCGCGUUGGCUGUGUUUGGAAUAGUGAAGGCAAAGACAUGUGCAGACAUUGUUGUUCAGUACAAGUGGAUCGCGUACGUGUCCAUCUUCGUGGGGUGCUGCUUCCUGGUGCUGUUCCACGCUGGAACAGAAGAGCCCACCCUGAAGUGCGAGCCUAACUGCAAGAAACGGGCUCGGAUCGCGUGGAGCUACUGGUUCAAGAAGACCCUCUACUACCAAGUCGCUCUCCUCUACAUGCUUGCCAGAUUGAUCACCAACGUCUCCCAGUCGCUCAUCGCGUUCUACGUCACCAGAGAUCUGAGGAUGAACGAAUACUCCAAAGCCACCAUUCCGGCCAUCAUAUUCUGCUGCAGCUUCUUGGUGUCCGUGGUGCUCCAGGAGAUGAGGUGGAACAGCCGGCGGCUCAAGUCGCUGCUGACGAUCGGGGCGACGCUGUGGGUGAUCUCCGGCGCGGCGGUGUUCCUCCUCCCGAGCCAGAUGCACAACCUCAUGUACCCGCUGGCCGUGGUCAUCGGCGCCGCCAACGCGCUGGUCAUGGUGACCACCAUCGGGCUGGAGAGCGCGCUGGUCGGCGAGGACCUCAACGGCUGCGCCUUCGUCUACGGCUCCCUCAGCUUCCUCGACAAGAUGUCCUGCGGCCUCGCGCUCUUCGUGCUCGAGUCCUACGACGUCGCCUCCAGCUGCGGCGACGCCCGCGGGCUCAACACCGUCAGCAGGUACGGCACCGGGCUCAUCCCGGCCUGCUUCGCCGUGCUCGCCAUCGUCGUCGCCUCCACCCUCAGGCUGCAGGACGACGACGUUGCCCGUGCCGACCGCAGGGCCAGGGCUUCCGCCGCCGCCGGCGCGCUGGAAGCUCCGCUCCUUGUCUGA